rnacentral:rRNA from 1 species
AGAGUUUGAUCCUGGCUCAGGAUGAACGCUGGCGGUCUGCUUAACACAUGCAAGUCGAACGCAAGUAGUAAUACUUGAGUGGCGGACGGGUGAGUAACGCGUGAGAAUCUGCCUUUUGGUCGGGGACAACCACUGGAAACGGUGGCUAAUACCGGAUAUGCCUAACGGUGAAAGAUUAAUUGCCAGAAGAGGAGCUCGCGUCUGAUUAGCUAGUUGGUGAGGUAAGAGCUCACCAAGGCAUCGAUCAGUAGCUGGUCUGAGAGGAUGAUCAGCCACACUGGGACUGAGACACGGCCAAGACUCCUACGGGAGGCAGCAGUGGGGAAUUUUCCGCAAUGGGCGAAAGCCUGACGGAGCAAGACCGCGUGAGGGAGGAAGGCUCUUGGGUUGUAAACCUCUUUUGUCAGGGAAGAACACAAUGACGGUACCUGAAGAAUCAGCAUCGGCUAACUCCGUGCCAGCAGCCGCGGUAAUACGGGGGAUGCAAGCGUUAUCCGGAAUUAUUGGGCGUAAAGCGUCCGUAGGUGGCUAGUCAAGUCUGCGGUCAAAGACUGGGGCUUAACCCUGGAAAGGCCGUGGAAACUGACGAGCUAGAGUGCAGUAGGGGUAGAGGGAAUUCCCGGUGUAGCGGUGAAAUGCGUAGAGCUCGGGAAGAACAUCGGUGGCGAAAGCGCUCUACUGGACUGCAACUGACACUCAGGGACGAAAGCUAGGGGAGCGAAUGGGAUUAGAUACCCCCGUAGUCC